AAGGAACCCCUCUCGGUCCAGAAACACCGAUGAAUAAGGGGGGGCAAGUUCUGGUGUCAGCCGCCGCGGUAAAACCAGCACCUCAAGUGGUCAGGAUGAUUAUUGGGCCUAAAGCAUCCGUAGCCUGCUUUGUUAGUUUUCGGUUAAAUCUAUACGCUCAACGUAUAGGUUGCCGGGAAUACUGCAAAGCUAGGGAGUGGGAGAGGUAGACGGUACUCGGUAGGAAGGGGUAAAAUCCUUUGAUCUAUUGAUGACCACCUGUGGCGAAGGCGGUCUACCAGAACACGUCCGACGGUGAGGGAUGAAAGCUGGGGGAGCAAACCGGAUUAGAUACCCGGGUAGUCCCAGCCGUAAACCAUGCAAACUCAGUGAUGCAUUGGCUUGUGGCCAAUGCAGUGCUGCAGGGAAGCCGUUAAGUUUGCCGCCUGGGAAGUACGUACGCAAGUAUGAAACUUAAAGGAAUUGGCGGGGGAGCACCACAAGGGGUGAAGCCUGCGGUUCAAUUGGAGUCAACGCCAGAAAUCUUACCCGAAGAGACAGCAGAAUGAAGGUCAAGCUGGAGACUUUACCAGACAGCUGAGAAGAGGUGCAUGGCC
rnacentral:rRNA from 1 species